rnacentral:misc_RNA from 1 species
AAGUCGUAACAAGGUUUCCGUAGGUGAACCUGCGGAAGGAUCAUUAGUGAAUUCGAGCGUCUCUUAGGAGAGCUCAACCCACUUUCCAACUCUGUGAACUAUUGGGAGUAGAGCGCAAGCAAUACUCCGGCUCAUUUAAACAUCAGUAAUCGUAUGUAACAAAACAAAAUAAGAAAA